rnacentral:lncRNA from 1 species
CGCCGCUCACUCCCGGCCCGACGGCCCCACCCGGUGGCGGCCGCGGGAACUGCAGGGGCGGCAGGUGGAGGUGGCCCUGUCCCCUCCUGUCCCCUCCUGUCCCCUCCCUGUCCCCUCCCUCUCCCGCCCCCUCCUCCCCGCCGGGUGUCCCUGGGCUCGGCCCCAAUCGCUUCUCCAAAGCAUCUUCCCGGAAAACAUUCCAAAAAAACCUUCCCAAAGCGUCUUCCUGAAUAUCUCACACAAAUCUCCCCAUGCCAAAGCACCUUCCCGAGAAACAGUCCCAAAAAAGCCUUCCUCUUCCCAAAAAACAUUCCCCUUCCUGAAAAACAUACCCCAAAAACCUUCCCAAAGUGACUUCCUGGAUCUCUCACACAAAUCUCCCCAUCCCAAAGCACCUUCCCAAGAAACAUUCCCAAAAACCUUCCCCUUCCCAAAAAACAUUCCCAAAAAACCUUCCUUUCCCUUCCCAAAAAACAGUCCUGAAAAACCUUCCCAAAGCAUCUUCCUGAAUCUCUCACACAAAUCUCCCCAUCCCAAAGCACCUUCCCGAGAAACAUUCCCAAAAAACCUUCCCCUUCCCGAAAAACAUUCCCAAAAACCCCUCCCAAAGCAGCUUCCUGAAACUCUCACACAAAUCUCCCCAUUCCACAAAACCUUCCUGAAAAACAUUCCCAAAAAGCCUCCCCAAAUAACUUCCCCAAACACUUUUCCCGAGUCCCUUCCCAAACUGUCUUCCCAAAAUAUUUGCCCCAAGUGGCUCCCAAAGCCCCUCACACUGUCCUAACUCCCCUUCCCAAAAGCAUCUUCCUGAAGCCCCUUCCCAAAAUAUCUUCCCAAAAUUCUUGCCCAAAGUGACUCCCAAAAGGAUCUUCCCAAAGCACCUCACGCUCUCCCAAUGCACCUUCCCAAAACACCGUCCUAAAGCAUCUUCCCAAAAACUGUUCCCAAAACAUCUUCCCCAAAGUUUUCCCAAAGAAUGUUCCUAAAACACCUGCUCCAGGCACCUCACACCUUCCCAAAAUGCCUUUCCCCAAAAACCUUCCUAAAAUAUCUUCCCAACCCUUCCUGAAGCCCCUUCCCAAAUCAUCUUCCCCAAAAUCUUGCUCUGAGCAUCUCACACCUUCCCG